CAGUCGCCACGGGAAUACGUAGGUGGCAAGCGUUGUCCGGAAUUAUUGGGCGUAAAGGGCUCGCAGGCGGUUUCUUAAGUCUGAUGUGAAAGCCCCCGGCUCAACCGGGGAGGGUCAUUGGAAACUGGGAAACUUGAGUGCAGAAGAGGAGAGUGGAAUUCCACGUGUAGCGGUGAAAUGCGUAGAGAUGUGGAGGAACACCAGUGGCGAAGGCGACUCUCUGGUCUGUAACUGACGCUGAGGAGCGAAAGCGUGGGGAGCGAACAGGAUUAGAUACCCGAGUAGUCACUGUCUCUUAUAC
rnacentral:rRNA from 1 species